CUUGCGGCCAUAUCACGUUGAAACCCCGAUUUCUCUAUGAUCACCGAAGUUAAGCAACGCCAUGACUGGUUAGUAUCAAGAUGGAUGACCGAUUGGGAAUACCAGGUGCUAUA